rnacentral:rRNA from 1 species
CGGGUGAGUAACACGUGGGUAACCUGCCCGGAAGUGGGGAAUACCUCGGGGAAACUCGAGCUAAUACCGCAUGACAUCUUCGGGACGAAAGUUCUGACGAUCAAAGCGGGGUCGCAAGAUCUCGCGCUACCGGAUGGGCCCGCGCCCGAUUAGCUAGUUGGUGAGGUAACGGCUCACCAAGGCUUCGAUCGGUAACCGGCCUGAGAGGGCGAUCGGUCACACCGGAACUGAGACACGGUCCGG